UACGGAGGUGCAAGCGUUGUCCGGAUUUAUUGGGUUUAAAGGGUGCGUAGGCGGUCCAUUAAGUCUGGGGUGAAAGCCCGUUGCUCAACAACGGAACUGCCCUGGAAACUGGCGGACUUGAGUACAGACGAGGCGGCGGAAUGGAUGCUGUAGCGGUGAAAUGCAUAGAUAGCAUCCAGAACCCCGAUUGCGAAGGCAGCUGCCCUAGCGUGUAACUGACGCUGAGGCACGAAAGCGUGGGGAGCGAACAGG
rnacentral:rRNA from 1 species